GUAAUGUCUGGGAAACUGCCUGAUGGAGGGGGAUAACUACUGGAAACGGUGGCUAAUACCGCAUAACGUCGCAAGACCAAAGAGGGGGACCUUCGGGCCUCUUGCCAUCAGAUGUGCCCAGAUGGGAUUAGCUAGUUGGUGAGGUAACGGCUCACCAAGGCGACGAUCCCUAGCUGGUCUGAGAGGAUGACCAGCCACACUGGAACUGAGACACGGUCCAGACUCCUACGGGAGGCAGCAGUGGGGAAUAUUGCACAAUGGGCGCAAGCCUGAUGCAGCCAUGCCGCGUGUAUGAAGAAGGCCUUCGGGUUGUAAAGUACUU
rnacentral:rRNA from 6 species